CAGCGAGGGGAGCGCAGCGCCGCCCCGCUCCGCUCCCUCCGCGCACACCUGAGGGGCCGCCGCCAGCGGCCGGGCGGCGCGGGCGGAAGGGACGGCGAGGGCCGAGCCCGCCCGCGCAGCGCCGGCCGCCGCGCUUCCUGUCAGGCUCGGCUCUCCCGGCUCCCGCCGCGCCCCUGCGCCCGCGGCCAUGGUGCCGGUAGCCCGCGGGCCGGGCCCAGCGCUGCGCCCCGCGGGGCCGCCCCUGAGCCGGGCCGGUGCGCGGGGCUCCGGGCCCAGGCCGGGAGGCCGCGCCCAGUGCCGCCGCCAGCCCCCGGCCGGGAGCCGCCUCGGCCCUGCGGGUCACCCGGAUGCCUUUUCCCGGCAGUUUCCUCCGGAGCUACGCUGGGCUGGCUCCGCUGCAGCUCCCGAGAGUGAAGGCUGUGAUCGGUGAUGGGCGCACGGAGAAAAGCUCCCCAGGAGCCCGGCUGCCCUUGGAGCUCUCAGCGCCUUCAGCCGUACCGAGCGCUGGGACCCAGGCCCGAACCUCCCAGGCCCUGCCGAGCGUGAAACAACUCAUCUGUCAUCGCACAGAUGCUCACAUACUGCCCCUGAGAACCAGUACCGGUGCUUUAGGCCUUUUUAUUUCAGCAAUAUAAAGUGUGGCUAUAGUAGUGCUGGUUGAGAUCCUUACCCUCGCUGAGCUACAGACCUGUGCCUUACCUUUUCCUUAUCAUCUCCUUUGUUGGAAUUAUUAUAACUGUAAUUUGCAUUUGCCUAUCACUUUGGCACUUAAUGAAUGCCUAAUGGAUUAUUGGCCUGAGGAUCAGCAGUAUCAUGUUGGGUGUGCCUGGAAUGAGAGAAAUGGAUGUCAUAAUAAAUGCUUCUACUGUGCUAGAGAUGCAGAAAUAAUAAGUGGUACAAAGUUUACCUGUAGGUGAGAAGGCCCCACACUCAGCACAGGCGGUAUCUGUUCUGCAGAUGUCACAUGUGCAGUGAAAUGUGCAAUUUUAAAUAGCAUAAUAAAUCACACAACAUUUUUCACAUCUCAGUUCUUUGUAAUCUAACCAGACAAUCCUUAAACCUUUAAUGGCCUCAAGAUUGUAAAAUCAUUUCAUCUGGGUUUUUGAGCAGUAAUCCUCAAAUUAUGGGUCUGUAAAGGCAAUAAUGGAAUGUUUCAUAAAAGAAUUUUUCCUUGGUGAGUCUAUUAUUGUAAUUUGAAAAACAUAUAAAGUCACUUCUA